CAGGACGAACGCUGGCGGCGUGCCUAAUACAUGCAAGUCGUGCGGGCCUUGUUGAAAGCUUGCUUUUAACAAGGCUAGCGGCGGACGGGUGAGUAACACGUGGGCAACCUGCCUGUAAGACCGGGAUAACGCCGGGAAACCGGGGCUAAUACCGGAUAGUUUUUUCCUCCGCAUGGAGGAAAAAAGGAAAGGCGGCUUCGGCUGCCACUUACAGAUGGGCCCGCGGCGCAUUAGCUAGUUGGCGGGGUAACGGCCCACCAAGGCAACGAUGCGUAGCCGACCUGAGAGGGUGAUCGGCCACAUUGGGACUGAGACACGGCCCAAACUCCUACGGGAGGCAGCAGUAGGGAAUCUUCCGCAAUGGACGAAAGUCUGACGGAGCAACGCCGCGUGAGUGAAGAAGGCCUUCGGGUCGUAAAACUCUGUUGCCGGGGAAGAACAAGUGCCGUUCGAACAGGGCGGCGCCUUGACGGUACCCGGCCAGAAAG
rnacentral:rRNA from 1 species